UGGGGAAUAUUGGACAAUGGGCGAAAGCCUGAUCCAGCCAUGCCGCGUGUGUGAAGAAGGUCUUCGGAUUGUAAAGCACUUUAAGUUGGGAGGAAGGGCAGUAAGCGAAUACCUUGCUGUUUUGACGUUACCGACAGAAUAAGCACCGGCUAACUCUGUGCCAGCAGCCCCGGUAAUACAGAGGGUGCAAGCGUUAAUCGGAAUUACUGGGCGUAAACCGCGCGUAGUUGGUUCGUUAAUUUGACUUUGAAAGCCCCGGGCUCAACCUGGGAACUGCAUCCAAAACUGGCGAGCUAGAGUAGGGCAGAGGGUGGUGGAAUUUCCUGUGUAGCGGUGAAAUGCGUAGAUAUAGGAAGGAACACCAGUGGCGAAGGCGACCACCUGGGCUCAUACUGACACUGAGGUGCGAAAGCGUGGGGAGCAAACAGG
rnacentral:rRNA from 1 species